UACAGAGGUCUCAAGCGUUGUUCGGAUUCAUUGGGCGUAAAGGGUGCGUAGGUGGCGCGCUAAGUCAGGUGUGAAAUUUCGGAGCUUAACUCCGAAACUGCAUUUGAUACUGGCGUGCUUGAGGACUGGAGAGGAGACUGGAAUUGACGGUGUAGCAGUGAAAUGCGUAGAGAUCGUGAGGAAGACCAGUGGCGAAGGCGGGUCUCUGGACAGUUCCUGACACUGAGGCACGAAGGCCAGGGGAGCAAACGGG
rnacentral:rRNA from 1 species